rnacentral:rRNA from 1 species
ACUCAAAUGAAUUGACGGGGGCCCGCACAAGCAGCGGAGCGUGUGGUUUAAUUCGAGGCUACACGAAGAACCUUACCUGGGCUUGACAUGACACUAGUAGGGAAGCGAAAGCGGACCGACCCGCAAGGGAGGUGUCACAGGUGCUGCAUGGCUGUCGUCAGCUCGUGCCGUGAGGUGUUAGGUUAAGUCCUGUAACGAGCGCAACCCUCGGAGCCAGUUACACGUGUCUGGCUCGACUGCCCGUGACAAGCGGGAGGAAGGUGGGGAUGACGUCAAGUCAGCAUGGCCUUUAUGUCCAGGGCUACACACACGCUACAAUGGCCGGUACAAUGGGUCGCCAAGCCGCAAGGCGGAGCCAAUCCAGUCAAAGCCGGUCACAGUUCGGAUUGUGGGCUGCAACCCGCCCACAUGAAGUUGGAGUUGCUAGUAACCGCGCGUCAGCCAUAGUGCGGUGAAUACGUUCCCGGGCCUUGUACACACCGCCCGU